rnacentral:rRNA from 1 species
GACAGAGGUGCCGAGCGUUAGGCGGAAUCACUGGGCUUAAAGCGUGUGUAGGCGGGGCGUUAAGUGUCUUGUGAAAUCCCCCGGCUCAACCGGGGAAUGGCUGGGCAUACUGGCGAUCUUGAGCAGUCUAGGGGCAGAUGGAACAAGUGGUGGAGCGGUGAAAUGCGUAGAUAUCACUUGGAACGCCAAAGGUGAAAACAGUCUGCUGGGGACUUGCUGACGCUGAGACACGAAAGCCAGGGGAGCGAACGGG